rnacentral:rRNA from 1 species
GGUUGAUCCUGCCAGUAGUCAUACGCUUGUCUCAAAGAUUAAGCCAUGCAUGUCUAAGUAUAAGCACUUAUACCGUGAAACUGCGAAUGGCUCAUUAUAUCAGUUAUAGUUUACUUGAUAGUCCCUACUACUUGGAUAACCGUAGUAAUUCUAGAGCUAAUACAUGCACGAAGUCCGGACUGCGAGUAGCGGAACGGAUGCAUUUGUUAGAUACAACCAGCCCUUCGGGUCCCUGGUGAGUCAUAGCAACUGAGCGAACCGCAUGCGCAAGCGGCGGUGGUUCAUUCAAGUUU